GCUUUAGUAGUUUAACAAAAACACUGGUCUUGUAAACCGGAAAAGAAAGCUAUUUCCUAAAGUA
rnacentral:tRNA from 1 species